GUACACGCUGUGACUAGCAUAUCAAUAAGCGGAGGAAAAGAAACUAACAAGGAUUCCCCUAGUAACGGCGAGUGAAGCGGGAAGAGCUCAAAUUUGAAAUCUUAAAGGGUUUCCCUUACGAAUUGUAGUUUAAAGAAGUGUUUUCUGUUGAGGUUUUGGUAAAAGUUCUUUGGAAUAGGACAUCAUAGAGGGUGAGAAUCCCGUAUUUGACCUUUACCUUCAACUUUGUGAUACACUUUCAAAGAGUCGGAUUGUUUGGGAAUGCAGUCCAAAAUGGGUGGUAAAUUUCAUCUAAAGCUAAAUAUUGGCGAGAGACCGAUAGCGAACAAGUACCGUGAGGGAAAGAUGAAAAGAACUUUGAAAGAGAGAGUUAAACAGUACGUGAAAUUGUCAAAAGGGAAGCGUUUGACACCAGUGUUGUUUUUCUGAAAAUCAAUUAAAGAACUGUUUAUGCUAAGUUGUUUAGACUUUAUCAGCUAACUGUUUAGUUUUGAGCUUUUCUUUAAUGCACUUUUCAGUUAACAAGUCAACAUCAAUUUCUUUUGCUGUAAAAAAGCUUGAGGAAGGUGGCUUGAGAUUCGUCUUAAGUGUUUAUAGCCUCUUGCCUAUGCAGUCGGAGAGAUUGAGGUCUGCAGCGUAGAUCCUUCGGGGCUAAAUGCAUUUGUGCUAAGUUAUAGCAUUUCAUAGACAACUUGUUGACUACUGAUUUGUCUUGUAGCUUACUCGCCUAUGUUAUUUUACCUACGCUUAGGAUGUUGACAGCAGUAUAGACUGU
rnacentral:rRNA from 1 species